rnacentral:SRP_RNA from 1 species
CUUUUAGACCUAUGCAACAGGAAUUUUGGGCAACGGGUCAGGAUGGGAACAUAGCAGCCCACCCAACUUUGCUGUGUGCCGUAGGUAUCUGAAAGAGG